rnacentral:tRNA from 1 species
GACACGAUGGCCGAGCGGUCUAAGGCGCUGGUUUUAGGCACCAGUCCUCGGGCGUGGGUUCGAAUCCCACUCGUGUCA